UGCGUAGGCGGCAUGUCAAGCCAGAGGUGAAAGGCAUUGGCUCAACCAAUAUAAGCCUUUGGAACUGACGUGCUUGAGUACAGGAGAGGUAAGUGGAAUUCCUAGUGUAGAGGUGAAAUUCGUAGAUAUUAGGAGGAACACCAGUGGCGAAGGCGACUUACUGGACUGUAACUGACGCUGAGGCACGAAAGCGUGGGUAGCGAACA
rnacentral:rRNA from 1 species